rnacentral:rRNA from 1 species
GACGUAGGGCGCGAGCGUUGUCCGGAUUUAUUGGGCGUAAAGAGCUCGUAGGCGGCUUGUCGCGUCGUUCGUGAAAGUCCGGGGCUCAACUCCGGAUCUGCGGUGGGUACGGGCAGACUAGAGUGAUGUAGGGGAGACUGGAAUUCCUGGUGUAGCGGUGAAAUGCGCAGAUAUCAGGAGGAACACCGAUGGCGAAGGCAGGUCUCUGGGCAUUAACUGACGCUGAGGAGCGAAAGCAUGGGGAGCGAACAGG